AUUGAACGCUGGCGGCAGGCCUAACACAUGCAAGUCGAACGAGUGGCGGACGGGUGAGUAAUGUUUGGGAAUCUACCUUAUGGAGGGGGAUAACUACGGGAAACUGUAGCUAAUACCGCGUACCAUCGGAUGAGCCCAGGUGGGCUUAGUUAGUUGGUGAGGUAACGGCUUACCUAGGCGACGAUCCCUAGCGGGUCGGAGAGGAUGAUAAGCCAAACGGGGACGGAGACAGGGCCCAGACUCCUAAGGGAGGCAGAAGUGGGGAAUAUUGCACAAUGGGCGCAAGCCUGAUGCAGCCAUGCCGCGUGUAUGAAGAAGGCCUUCGGGUGGUAAAGUACUUUCAGUCGGGAGGCGUUACCGACAGAAGAAGCACCGGCUAACUCCGUGCCAGCAGCCGCGGUAAUAC
rnacentral:rRNA from 1 species